rfam:Fukomys damarensis contig159582, whole genome shotgun sequence.
AUCUUUCAGUUUAUGAGCAUGAUGACUGGGUGUUCAUGCCACAGUGCAUGAGAUGUGCCUCACACAAACCUUGUUAUAACGUUGGCAUAUUACCUGUCUGAUG